UCUGCACAUCCAGCCACCACCCCUUUUGGACCCUCGCCUCAUCAUAGCAGCUUCCUGCCUACAAGCCAUUUGGCAGGUAAUUAUCCAUUUAGCAGGUCAAGCACCUUCAGCGGCCUUGGGAACUUAGGCAGCAAUGCCUUUGGAAGAUUAGGCAGUCAUGCUCUGACUCACAACAGCAUAUUUGUUCACAAAGAUGGUCCAAACCUACAGAGCUUUAACAAUCCCCACGAGCCAUGGAAUAGAUUCCAUCGAACCCCACCUUCCUUCCCGACACCUCCACAGUGGCCUAAGCCAGGGGAUUCCAAGCGAAGCGCCUCAGUGACCAACCAUGACAGAGACCGGGAGUGGGAGUCGGAGAAGAGAGAUCUUUUUCUGAAUAAGGAUGACAGAGACAAAGAGAGGUAGGUGGCAGGCAUGCUUUGGGCACUUCCUUGUACUCUUUGUAUCUUCUAUUCCCCCUCCAGUGGCCUUGAUUUUGACAUAACUGUAAAUCUGGUGAGGUGAAUGAGAUGAGCAAAUUCUCUCUGAAGCUGUCAACAGGCCUUUCCCUCCAUUCAGCACUGCCACAGGCAUGUUUUGGCUAGACCAGUGGUUCUCAAAGCAUCAUCCGCAGACAACUAGUGGUCCACAGCCACCUCCCAGGUGGUCUGCGGCUUGAGCUCAGCCCCCACCCUCCUCCCUCACGCAGCAGGAAGCCUGCACUGUUGCUCGAACCUCACGGUUGGCGCACAGACCCAAGGCUGUGAGCUGGAAGCUGGAGCUGGUGCUGGAGGACACAAGCAGGGAGAUGAAGAAAGCAAAAUCACCGUCCCACACGCAGACCAUGGAGCUACAGGUGAAGGACUGCCACCCCAUCCCCCACCAUAGGAAACUCCCACCCACCACUGGGUGUCCGCCAAGCCCGCAGUUGCCAUGGUAGCAGCAGCACUUCCCUCAGUUGCUCCUGCGGGGCAGGUAGCAGGUUGGACUGCGCAGGACCUGGCCGGGUCGGGCAGGCUCCUGUGGUGCACGAGUGGCUGGUGCCCUCUCCCUUCCCCGGCAGCAGGUUAGGCUGCACCGUGCCUGGCAGUGGUGGGAGGAGGUGGCACUGUGGCUGAGGGGUCCCAACCUCGCAACCCUCCCCCUUCUGCACUGCACCUCUCGCCCAGAUCCUGCAUCCUCAUCCCUAUUCCACACACUGGCAGCGCUGUCCUGCACACUGAACCCCUAAUUUUUCUCCACUCCAGGAGCUAAGGGAGGCCAUAAAAUCCACUAACUCUGGAACCCCAGGAAAAGUAAAUUUGGCCUAUGGGAAGCUGUGAACCUCAGCCCCCCAUCCCUUCCCCUCACCUUGCGGGGCUGGAGCACCAGAGGAGUGAGGUGGCUCAAUUGGGGGCCACAUCAAUGAGAGUUGUUGGUUUUGGAAGAGUUUUUUUUUGUUUUGCUUCUCACUUCUGUGGUCCCCAACUGAUUUUUCUGUAGGGCAGUGGCCCCCCCAACCCGAAAAAGGUUCCCCACCCCUGCCAUCAAUAAAGCAAACAUGGAAACCUAGCAACUGGUGGUCCACGGAAAGGUUUACAUUGAGACAGGUGGUCCAUGGGCCAAAAAAUUUGAGAACCUCUGGGCUAGACAGAAACCAACAGCCCAUCCUUGAAUGUCACAGGCUGUGGCAACAUUGUCAACAAGUCCAUCCGCUCCUGCCACUAAGCCAUUUGUCAGGUAGACUCUGCCCUCAAAGUGCCUCUUGUUAGACAGCUCUAAUACACAGGCAUGGUGAAUGAGAGCUGCUGUGGGCUACAGUGUUUUAUCUCAGGUAAGCAAAGGUUUGCAAGCUGCAUUGUGAUACUGUGAUCUGCUCUCGCUCCCAUACUCUCAGCUAAGGGCAAUGCCUUUCAGGUCUAGCUAGGUAUCUCAAAUAGAACCCAAACAGUUUUGUUGCUGAGAAACCAAAA